UACGUAGGGAGCAAGCGUUGUUCGGAUUUACUGGGCGUAAAGGGCGCGUAGUCGGCGCGGUAAGUCACUUGUGAAAUCUCUGAGCUUAACUCAGAACGGCCAAGUGAUACUGCAGUGCUAGAGUGCAGAAGGGGCAAUCGGAAUUCUUGGUGUAGCGGUGAAAUGCGUAGAUAUCAAGAGGAACACCUGAGGUGAAGACGGGUUGCUAGGCUGACACUGACGCUGAGGCGCGAAAGCCAGGGGAGCAAACGGG
rnacentral:rRNA from 1 species